rnacentral:rRNA from 1 species
AUUGAACGCUGGCGGCAUGCCUUACACAUGCAAGUCGAACGGUAACAGGUCUUCGGAUGCUGACGAGUGGCGAACGGGUGAGUAAUACAUCGGAACGUGCCCGAGAGUGGGGGAUAACGAGGCGAAAGCUUUGCUAAUACCGCAUACGAUCUCAGGAUGAAAGCAGGGGACCGCAAGGCCUUGCGCUCACGGAGCGGCCGAUGGCAGAUUAGGUAGUUGGUGGGAUAAAAGCUUACCAAGCCGACGAUCUGUAGCUGGUCUGAGAGGACGACCCGCCACACUGGGACUGGGACACGGCCCAGAUUCCUACGGGAGGCAGCAGUGGGGAAUUUUGUACAAUGGGCGCAAGCCUGAUCCAGCCAUGCCGCGUGCAGGAUGAAGGCCUUCGGGUUGUAAACUGCUUUUGUACGGAACGAAAAGACUCUGGUUAAUACCUGGGGUCCAUGACGGUACCGUAAGAAUAAGCACCGGCUAACUACGUGCCAGCAGCCGCCGUAAGAC